rnacentral:rRNA from 1 species
GACGAACGCUGGCGGCGUGCUUAACACAUGCGAGUCGAACGGAAAGGCCUGCUUUCCCUUGUGGACUGCGGGUACUCGAGUGGCGAACGGGUGAGUAACACGUGAGUGAUCUGCCCCCAACUUGGGUAUAAGCCUGGGAAACUGGGUCUAAUUCCCGAUAGGACUGCAGGGUGGUGCCUGUGGUGGAAAACGAUUUUCUAGUGGUUGGGGAUGAGCUCGCGGCCUAUCAGCUUGUUGGUGGGGUAAUGGCCUACCAAGGCGGCGACGGGUAGCCGGCCUGAGAGGGUGGACGGCCACAUUGGGACUGAGAUACGGCCCAGACUCCUACGGGAGGCAGCAGUGGGGAAUAUUGCACAAGGGGCGGAAGCCUGAUGCAGCGACGCCGCGUGGGGGAUGACGGCCUUCGGGUGGUAAACUCCUUUCGACCGCGAGGAAGCCACCUGGUUGGAAGGGUGGUGACGGUAGUGGUAGAAGAAGCACCGGCUAACUACGUG